rnacentral:rRNA from 1 species
UACGGAGGGAGCUAGCGUUGUUCGGAAUUACUGGGCGUAAAGCGCACGUAGGCGGCUUUGUAAGUUAGGGGGUGAAAGCCUGGAGCUCAACUUCAGAAUUGCCCCUUAAGACUGCAUCGCUUGAAUCCAGGAGAGGUGAGUGGAAUUCCGAGUGUAGAGGUGAAAAUUCGUAGAUAUUCGGAAAGAACACCAGUGGCGAAGGCGGCUCACUGGACUGGUAUUGACGCUGAGGUGCGAAAGCGUGGGGAGCAAACAGG